AUAAAAAAAACCCAGAGGUGCCUGACUUCAGUAGUCAAAGAAACACCUUCCCUGCCUCACAUCCGUUUGUGGUUUGUAAAGAGAGAGAGAGGAGAGAGGGGAAGGGAUAAAAAAAAAAAAAAAAAAAGAAAAAAAAUCUUCCAAAAAAGCACCGGUCUGCAGAUGUCUGCGAGAGAAUCAACAAACCCUCCUUCUUCUACGGCAGGGCAGUAGGAGCCAUGAAACCAGUGGUACUGGAGAUGUAGUGAUUCUUCUGAGUUACAUCGGCAUCUUGAAGGUGGAGAUCAAAGUUAUGGCUGCUGGUCAAGUGCUUCAGAGUAAUAGCAAGGCCAGCGUUUGGAUGUGGCUGAUAAAAGCUGAGGAUGCUGAGAUCUCUGCACAGUGCACACAUAAGUAUGGCCUAGUAGGACAGUGUGGAUGAAAAUAUGAAGGCAUGGAUGCCCCCUUACAGGAAGUGUUCAAGGCCAGGUUGGAUGUGGCUUUGAGCAACCUGGUUUAGUUGAAAGUGUUCCAGCCUGUGGCAGGGGGUUUGAAAGUAGAUAAUCUUUGAGGUCCCUCCCAUCCCAAGCCAUGCUAUGAUUCUAUGUUUUUACAAUUCUAUGAUGUGAAGUAUACCUCAAAACAUAUCUUUCCUUUUCAGACCCAGAAUUGUCAGGAAAGUGAAAUAUCUGCUAUUGCCAAAUGAGUGUACAACAGCUUGAAAAAAGGAGAUGGUGAUUUCCAGUGAAAAGAGGAAAGGAAGAGUCUCUUUGGAAUACAUAAAAUAUGAUGCAUUAGUGUAAUAUUGUCAUUGAAGAUCAAGUGUUAUAAUAUUUUAUAUUUUUUUCAUUGCUGUCCAAUAAACAUACAGCAAUAGCAGGUGAAUAUAUCAAAUGUAUGUAUAAUGUCUUCCCACUGUAUCUAACUGUUCCAUAUAUUACUGUUGCAUCUUCUGAGAUUAAGUAAACAGAACAUAAUGUACUCUACAUAAAUAUAGCACUACUGAAUCAUAA